CGACUCUCGGCAACGGAUAUCUCGGCUCUCGCAUCGAUGAAGAACGUAGCGAAAUGCGAUACUUGGUGUGAAUUGCAGAAUCCCGUGAACCAUCGAGUCUUUGAACGCAAGUUGCGCCCGAAGCCGUCAGGCCGAGGGCACGCCUGCCUGGGCGUCACA
rnacentral:rRNA from 4 species